rnacentral:rRNA from 1 species
UGGGGAAUAUUGCACAAUGGGCGCAAGCCUGAUGCAGCCAUGCCGCGUGUGUGAAGAAGGCCUUCGGGUUGUAAAGCACUUUCAGCGAGGAGGAAGGUGGUGAGCUUAAUACGCUCAUCAAUUGACGUUACUCGCAGAAGAAGCACCGGCUAACUCCGUGCCAGCAGCCGCGGUAAUACGGAGGGUGCAAGCGUUAAUCGGAACUACUGGGCGUAAAGCGCACGCAGGCGGUUUGUUAAGUCAGAUGUGAAAUCCCCGGGCUCAACCUGGGAACUGCAUUUGAAACUGGCAAGCUAGAGUCUCGUAGAGGGGGGUAGAAUUCCAGGUGUAGCGGUGAAAUGCGUAGAGAUCUGGAGGAAUACCGGUGGCGAAGGCGGCCCCCUGGACGAAGACUGACGCUCAGGUGCGAAAGCGUGGGGCAGCAAACAGGAUUAGAUACCCUGGUAGUCCACGCUGUAAACGAUGUCGAUUUUGGAGGUUGUGCCCCUUGAGGCGUGGCUUCCGGAGCUAACGCGUUAAAUCGACCGCCU